rnacentral:ncRNA from 1 species
AGGGCGGUAUCCGGGCGCGGAACCGCACCGUAAAAAAGCGUUUUUUUGACAACCUGGUAUUUUUUGGAACCGCUUGGAGCCGGAAGGACCGAGACGGGAGG